GAUGCAACUGGAAAUUGAAGAUCUUGAUCUGGAGAACCAAUAUUAGACUGGGAGGCAUUCGAGAAGAAACCCGAGCUCUGGAACUGCAGCAGAAUGGACUGAGCCAGGAGAUCCAGAAACGCUCUGUGUUUUAUAAAAAGCAGAACCCUCAACUGUGGGGGGGCCCAGGGGAGAGACUGACCAAUGAGGAGCCAGAAAGUAUAUUUAUAUCCCCUGGGGCCCUGCCCGUGCCAUAUACAAGCAUGGGGGGGUGGUGGAGGGACUUUCUGGUAGCGACUCAGGUCACAUGUGGGGUAUUUUGAUCCCCAUCUCUUAUCUGUGGAAAUGUCUCUGUGGAAAUAAGAGAUGCUUAUUGUUAAACCAAAUAAAAAUGGACGCCUUAUGAUUAA